GAUCUGGCUCAGACUCAGUCGUAACAGGUAACCGUAGAGUUUGAUCCUGGGUCAGAACUCAAGACGUAACGGGGGGUAACCUACCCAUUGAAGGGGGAUAACACUUGGAAACAGGUGCUAAUACCGCAUAACAGUUUAUGCCGCAUGGCAUAAGAGUGAAAGGCGCUUUCGGGUGUCGCUGAUGGAUGGACCCGCGGUGCAUUAGCUAGUUGGUGAGGUAACGGCUCACCAAGGCCACGAUGCAUACCCGACCUGAGAGGGUGAUCGGCCACACUGGGACUGAGACACGGCCCAGACUCCUACGGGAGGCAGCAGUAGGGAAUCUUCGGCAAUGGACGAAAGUCUGACCGAGCAACGCCGCGUGAGUGAAGAAGGUUUUCGGAUCGUAAAACUCUGUUGUUAGAGAAGAACAAGGACGUUAGUAACUGAACGUCCCCUGACGGUAUCUAACCAGAAAGCCACGGCUAACUACGUGCCAGCAGCCGCGGUAAUACGUAGGUGGCAAGCGUUGUCCGGAUUUAUUGGGCGUAAAGCGAGCGCAGGCGGUUUCUUAAGUCUGAUGUGACAGCCCCCGGCUCAACCGGGGAGGGUCAUUGGAAACUGGGAGACUUAGAGUGCAGAAGAGGAGAGUGUAAUUCCAUGUGUAGCGGAGAAAUGCGUAGAUAUAUGGAGGAACACCAGUGGCGAAAGCGGCUCUCUGGUCUGUAACUGACGCUGACGCUCGAAA
rnacentral:rRNA from 1 species